rnacentral:rRNA from 1 species
UGUGCCAGCCGCCGCGGUAAUACGAAGGGGGCCAGCGUUGCUCGGAAUUACUGGGCGUAAAGGGAGCGUAGGCGGGUUAUCAAGUUGGGGGUGAAAGCCCGGGGCUCAACCUCGGAAUUGCCUUCAAAACUGAUAGCAAUAGAGUAUGAUAGAGGUAUGUGGAACUCCGAGUGUAGAGGUGAAAUUCGUAGAUAUUCGGAAGAACACCAGUGGCGAAGGCGACAUACUGGGUCAUGACUGACGCUGAGGCUCGAAAGCGUGGGGAGCAAACAGGAUUAGAUACCCUGGUAGUCCACGCUGUAAACGAUGAUUGCUAGUUGUCGGACGGCAUGCCGUUCGGUGACGCAGCUAACGCAUUAAGCAAUCCGCCUGGGGAGUACGGUCGCAAGAUUAAAACUCAAAUGAAUUGACAGGG